rnacentral:rRNA from 1 species
GACGAACGCUGGCGGCGUGCUUAACACAUGCAAGUCGAACGGAAAGGCCUCUUUCGGGGGGUACUCGAGUGGCGAACGGGUGAGUAACACGUGAGUAACCUGCCCUUGACUUUGGGAUAACUUCAGGAAACUGGGGCUAAUACCGGAUAGGAGCUCCUGCUGCAUGGUGGGGGUUGGAAAGUUUCGGCGGUUGGGGAUGGACUCGCGGCUUAUCAGCUUGUUGGUGGGGUAGUGGCUUACCAAGGCUUUGACGGGUAGCCGGCCUGAGAGGGUGACCGGCCACAUUGGGACUGAGAUACGGCCCAGACUCCGACGGGAGGCAGCAGUGGGGGAUAUUGCACAAUGGGUGGAAGCCUGAUGCAGCAACGCCGUGUGCGGGAUGACGGCCUUCGGGUUGUAAACCGCUUUCGCUCAUGACGAAGCUUUGUGUGACGGUAGUGGGUAAAGAAGCACCGGCUAACUACGUG